UUAAGCGACUAAGCGUACACGGUGGAUGCCCUGGCAGUCAGAGGCGAUGAAGGACGUGCUAAUCUGCGAUAAGCGUCGGUAAGGUGAUAUGAACCGUUAUAACCGGCGAUUUCCGAAUGGGGAAACCCAGUGUGUUUCGACACACUAUCAUUAACUGAAUCCAUAGGUUAAUGAGGCGAACCGGGGGAACUGAAACAUCUAAGUACCCCGAGGAAAAGAAAUCAACCGAGAUUCCCCCAGUAGCGGCGAGCGAACGGGGAGCAGCCCAGAGCCUGAAUCAGUGUGUGUGUUAGUGGAAGCGUCUGGAAAGGCGCGCGAUACAGGGUGACAGCCCCGUACACAAAAAUGCACAUGCUGUGAGCUCGAUGAGUAGGGCGGGACACGUGGUAUCCUGUCUGAAUAUGGGGGGACCAUCCUCCAAGGCUAAAUACUCCUGACUGACCGAUAGUGAACCAGUACCGUGAGGGAAAGGCGAAAAGAACCCCGGCGAGGGGAGUGAAAAAGAACCUGAAACCGUGUACGUACAAGCAGUGGGAGCACAGAGCAAUCUGUGUGACUGCGUACCUUUUGUAUAAUGGGUCAGCGACUUAUAUUCUGUAGCAAGGUUAACCGAAUAGGGGAGCCGAAGGGAAACCGAGUCUUAACUGGGCGUUAAGUUGCAGGGUAUAGACCCGAAACCCGGUGAUCUAGCCAUGGGCAGGUUGAAGGUUGGGUAACACUAACUGGAGGACCGAACCGACUAAUGUUGAAAAAUUAGCGGAUGACUUGUGGCUGGGGGUGAAAGGCCAAUCAAACCGGGAGAUAGCUGGUUCUCCCCGAAAGCUAUUUAGGUAGCGCCUCGUGAAUUCAUCUCCGGGGGUAGAGCACUGUUUCGGCAAGGGGGUCAUCCCGACUUACCAACCCGAUGCAAACUACGAAUACCGGAGAAUGUUAUCACGGGAGACACACGGCGGGUGCUAACGUCCGUCGUGAAGAGGGAAACAACCCAGACCGCCAGCUAAGGUCCCAAAGUCAUGGUUAAGUGGGAAACGAUGUGGGAAGGCCCAGACAGCCAGGAUGUUGGCUUAGAAGCAGCCAUCAUUUAAAGAAAGCGUAAUAGCUCACUGGUCGAGUCGGCCUGCGCGGAAGAUGUAACGGGGCUAAACCAUGCACCGAAGCUGCGGCAGCGACGCUGAUGCGUUGUUGGGUAGGGGAGCGUUCUGUAAGCCUGCGAAGGUGUGCUGUGAGGCAUGCUGGAGGUAUCAGAAGUGCGAAUGCUGACAUAAGUAACGAUAAAGCGGGUGAAAAGCCCGCUCGCCGGAAGACCAAGGGUUCCUGUCCAACGUUAAUCGGGGCAGGGUGAGUCGACCCCUAAGGCGAGGCCGAAAGGCGUAGUCGAUGGGAAACAGGUUAAUAUUCCUGUACUUGGUGUUACUGCGAAGGGGGGACGGAGAAGGCUAUGUUGGCCGGGCGACGGUUGUCCCGGUUUAAGCGUGUAGGCUGGUUUUCCAGGCAAAUCCGGAAAAUCAAGGCUGAGGCGUGAUGACGAGGCACUACGGUGCUGAAGCAACAAAUGCCCUGCUUCCAGGAAAAGCCUCUAAGCAUCAGGUAACAUCAAAUCGUACCCCAAACCGACACAGGUGGUCAGGUAGAGAAUACCAAGGCGCUUGAGAGAACUCGGGUGAAGGAACUAGGCAAAAUGGUGCCGUAACUUCGGGAGAAGGCACGCUGAUAUGUAGGUGAAGUCCCUCGCGGAUGGAGCUGAAAUCAGUCGAAGAUACCAGCUGGCUGCAACUGUUUAUUAAAAACACAGCACUGUGCAAACACGAAAGUGGACGUAUACGGUGUGACGCCUGCCCGGUGCCGGAAGGUUAAUUGAUGGGGUNAGCGCAAGCGAAGCUCUUGAUCGAAGCCCCGGUAAACGGCGGCCGUAACUAUAACGGUCCUAAGGUAGCGAAAUUCCUUGUCGGGUAAGUUCCGACCUGCACGAAUGGCGUAAUGAUGGCCAGGCUGUCUCCACCCGAGACUCAGUGAAAUUGAACUCGCUGUGAAGAUGCAGUGUACCCGCGGCAAGACGGAAAGACCCCGUGAACCUUUACUAUAGCUUGACACUGAACAUUGAGCCUUGAUGUGUAGGAUAGGUGGGAGGCUUUGAAGUGUGGACGCCAGUCUGCAUGGAGCCGACCUUGAAAUACCACCCUUUAAUGUUUGAUGUUCUAACGUGGACCCGUAAUCCGGGUUGCGGACAGUGUCUGGUGGGUAGUUUGACUGGGGCGGUCUCCUCCUAAAGAGUAACGGAGGAGCACGAAGGUUGGCUAAUCCUGGUCGGACAUCAGGAGGUUAGUGCAAUGGCAUAAGCCAGCUUGACUGCGAGCGUGACGGCGCGAGCAGGUGCGAAAGCAGGUCAUAGUGAUCCGGUGGUUCUGAAUGGAAGGGCCAUCGCUCAACGGAUAAAAGGUACUCCGGGGAUAACAGGCUGAUACCGCCCAAGAGUUCAUAUCGACGGCGGUGUUUGGCACCUCGAUGUCGGCUCAUCACAUCCUGGGGCUGAAGUAGGUCCCAAGGGUAUGGCUGUUCGCCAUUUAAAGUGGUACGCGAGCUGGGUUUAGAACGUCGUGAGACAGUUCGGUCCCUAUCUGCCGUGGGCGCUGGAGAAUUGAGGGGGGCUGCUCCUAGUACGAGAGGACCGGAGUGGACGCAUCACUGGUGUUCGGGUUGUCAUGCCAAUGGCACUGCCCGGUAGCUAAAUGCGGAAGAGAUAAGUGCUGAAAGCAUCUAAGCACGAAACUUGCCCCGAGAUGAGUUCUCCCUGACUCCUUGAGAGUCCUGAAGGAACGUUGAAGACGACGACGUUGAUAGGCCGGGUGUGUAAGCGCAGCGAUGCGUUGAGCUAACCGGUACUAAUGAACCGUGAGGCUUAACCUU
rnacentral:rRNA from 1 species